UACUGUCUUUGAUUCAGCUAAUGAACCAGCAGUCUGACAGCUCCUAGAAGACUCCAUUCAUCCAAAGGAAGCAGUAAAUGUCAUCGUAUCAGAAGACAAAGCAAGAACAUGAAAGGAUAAAGGAGGAACGUGCAAGAAAACGAGAAGAAUUCUUGAAAGACAAAGCUCAGCGAGAGGAGGCACUGAAAAAUAUAAGGAGAAGAAAAUGGCCACAUAUCAGUUGUUGAAUAGAAAAACUAAGAAAGUAAUGUCUAACCAAGAUGGUGGGAUCUAACCAAGAUGGCGGCGCGUCCACACGCAGCAGCUUCUCUCUGUCCGGACAGAAUGGUGUUUUUGUGCUUUAUGUCUUGUGAGUCGCAGAGUUUUUGUACGUCGUCAUCGCAUCUACCUGUCUGUAAGCGCGCAUAUAGUCGCGAGUUUCUGCUCGAUGUUGGCAGAACCGCAUUUUUACAGUUAAACUCCGCGCAUGCGGAACAGCUACGGGAUCUCGGUCUGCUACGGAGGCCUUCACCAUCACCAACACCCACUACUGCAUCUCGCCCACAGCGGAGGCGCCACAAGCGGUGUGAGAGGAAGCAGAAGAGGGGGAAGCGCGGAGGUAUCCGGGCUAGGCUAA